rnacentral:lncRNA from 1 species
GAUCCCCAAUGACUCAGCACAAUUCUCAACCAUAGGCUUCCUGAGGGUUGGAAUUGUUUCUUUGCAUUCGCAGAGUCAUACUCCCAGCCUCUCACAGAGGUACUGAAAUGUUUGUUGAAUGAGUCACUAACAGAACUGGGACUUUUAAGAAAGUGAAAAGCAAGAGGAAAACACCAUGUUUACAGAUCAAAGGCUUCUGGGGUCAGUGCUCACCAGGGCGGUUCUCUGGAAUGCACUUCCCUCUCUUAAACCCUUUUAGGUUUUAGAGAACCUUCUCCCCAACACAAACCCAGCUCUUGUUUCCACCCUCUCAUUUGGCUUCUAAGGCCUUCCAGUGUUUGGCUUUCAGAUCCCUAGGAUUAAGGGGUAGAAACAGACUUUAUUUCUUUACCAGAUGUUUCCACAAUAGAGGCUCUGCCUUUCCCAGGUCUCAGAGCAGCUGGCAGGCCAAGAGGACAGGAAUGAGUGGAGCCACCCUCGCAGCCCCUCAAAGGACCAUCCAGAAAGAGUUCUGUGCUCCAGCCACAGCUAAGGCCAGUGGGCACUUCCAUCCCAUCAUUGAUGGCCCCUCAGGGGCAAGAGAGCAGAGAAGACUGGGGUGGGAGGCAUGUCCUCCAGGAAAGUACCAGCCUGCGUGGAGGCCUCCUGGCCAGCUGGGCUUUUCACUGCUUUCGGUUUCAGCAGCUAGCCUGGUCUCUGUCCUUGACAUGUCUGAUCACCAGGUAAAGACUGGCUAAUACCUGCUGUGUCUUGUCUUUUUCCCUCCUGGAUACCUGGACUCACCAACUAGCCCUGCUGCUUCUAGGAGAUUUAAAGGGCCAGUACCAUAUUUCCCCAUUCUUUAUUUUUCACUUUUAAUCCUUUUGGAAGCCAGACAUUUAAGGUCUAGGAUAUUCAAAAGCAAGCAUAUAUAUGGGGGGGGGGGCGGAUUUAGAAAGGUACCACACAGAUCUUACAAGUACCUCUCAGACUGAUCCCUGGUGUGGAGACACCGUAUAACACAAACACACAUACACUGCAGCAAAUUCUAAAGAAGUGGCAGAAUCUGAUUUCCACAGCUACCACAUUAUAAGAUUCAAAUAUCCAUUUAAAUAAGUCACAAAGCGUACUAGAGACAGG